rnacentral:tRNA from 1 species
AUUUGUAUAGUUUAAAAAAAACAUUAUAUUUUCAAUAUAAAAUUAUUUCAUUUUUAUAAAUA